CGUUGAUGUGGCAUACUUCACC
rnacentral:miRNA from 1 species